AGGAGUUGGACACGCGUUUCUCCCCAUCCAAAACCUAGGGUAAAGAAUCAAGACUCUCCAGUUCUCUCCGCCGCUCCUUGUUUCGUACCUUCCUCCUUCCUCUCAAAAUUUCUGUCUUCUCCUCCUUUACUUUCUUAUUCUGUGAUUUCAAUCUUUAGCCUUUCUCAGUCUUUUCUCCUCUUUUCUUUCCUUUUUCCCUGUCGAAUCGCCAGAUUACUAUGAGCUAAACUAAUUGAGCUAAACUUUUCUCUUCGGGAUCUCUUCAAGCUUCUAAACAACGUCUAGACGAUUGAAGAUCCACACAAGUGUAGAUUAGUAGAUCAACUUGGAAUCUCAUUACUUGAUUCAAUGCCACCCAUUUCAAUUAUAGGGAUCUAUUGGCUAUAUGCGCCAAGCUCAGGGGUCUAUGUCCAAUUAACCCGUUCAAAUUCUAAUUCAGCUGUCUAUAAGAGCUUCUUUAGCGGCCAGAUUAAGAGCAAAUCGAAGAAAUCAAAUAGUCGGUCAGAGUUCAUUCAGUUUCUUCUCAAUCAAAAUGGCUCGUACGAAGCAAACAGCUGGCAAGUCCACCGGAGGAAAGGCUCCAAGGAAACAGCUUGCCACAAAGUAUAUAUGCUUUCUUCCUCGGAAUGAAUUGUUCUGGUUGAUAUGUUGGAUAUGGAAUGCUUUUCAUACUUGAACCGUGCUCUAGAAAGUUUUCUAUCACCAAUAGUGAUUUUUCCCGCAAAUAGAGGAAUAUGUAAUGUCAGAUAUUAGCAAUUCGUGCAUAGGUGGAGGAACUGGUAAUUGACGAAGAAAGCCUGGCUCUCUCUCAUAUCCCUCCACGCUGCAACUCCAGGCCACUUGUACCCUCUCCUCUAAAAAGAAGUUGUCAAUCCCCUCUCUCUCCUUCUUUGAUCAAUUGCAAAGCUAAAGUUUCCUUGAUUCUUUCUUUGAUAUUUUUUUUCUCCCUUUUUAUUCUUUUCCUCUUUUCUUUCCUUUUUUUUCUGAUCAAUCACUUGAUUACUAAGAGAGCUGAACUAUUUGUUUUCCAAAAGUCAUUGGAAGCUUCCAAAUCUGUAAAUGAAGCAAAGCUCCUCCUCCACCACCAUAGAUUGUCAUGUGCCAAAUUGGCGACUCUAUGACUUUUCCCCCUUCUCUUUUUUCUUUACUCUUAUGUUUUAAUGGAUAUUUAGUAUUUUUUUCCUCAAAUGCAGCCACAGUACAAAAAAGCCUAUGAUGAAAGCUCCAGUGGCACCAUCAAUUGUUUGUCGUAUUUACCAUAAUGUUCUACAAUCUGUAAUCCCACGAUUCUUCUUCCUUUACAUUUUAUUUUUUUUAAUUCCUUGUUUCUGGCACCUUUAGUUUUCCUUUGCUUGAUUUUUUGCUCUUUUUCACGCUCAUCUUGGCUUAUUUCGUGUCAUUUUCUGAAUUUAUUGCCAGGUACAAUGGAAUAAGAUGGAUUUUUCUAAUUAUCUAAAUUCACAAUAAUAGAGGAAGGAUAGCAAGGAAUAUUUACUUUCUGUAUGUUGGGUUAGUAGAAUUUCAAAUCCUGAUUCUUCAAUUUGUUCACCUUAUAUUUCUGUUUCUGUUCCUUGGCUAGGAUUAAGGAUUAAGGCCUGACAAGGUUUGUGCCCUUUCACAUGCACCGUUGCAGGUUGAAAAUUGCGUCUGCUUGGCAAAGAAGGCAAUGACAGCAUGUCAGAAUAAAUAUUAUUAGAUGUGGUGCGAUUUAAAAUUGUCACUCACAGCAAGGUCUUAGAAGUUGCACCAAAAUUUCCUUUGUAUCAUUUGAUCAAGCAAGAAAGAUAUUUCCUCCCAACUGGAAAUAGCUUAUUGCUUCUGAUGGAGUUAAUAUCACACAAUUUAUCAAGUGUUGUAUCCUAUUCGAACGAGGAAAAAAUACUACAAACAUACCAGUUGUGAACUGGAUAAAACAGCUUGUUGCAACAUAUUUAUCAGAACUAUGUGGCCUCAACAACUUGUUGGAAGCCUUUAGCUGUGAUGCGGAUCAAUGGAGCUGAAAAGAUUUAGAUUAUCACCUUCAGCUAUGACUGUAUUGGCAUAUGUAUAUAUGGCUUUUGCUAACAUCAAUGUUGCGAAACCUUGGCCUGUUGCACUUUGCUAUUAUUUUCUAAUUGGAAAAUGCAGCAUUGUUCACUAGGCUCAGUAACUAGAAUGAUAUUGUGAAAAACUGACUAAUAAGAAAGUUGAACAUUAUCGCAAAUGCUUUGGCACAUAUGUUAUGUAUAUCUUGCGAGUAUUGUAGUUUGUGCAUGUAAAGUACUUUGCCUUUGCCUACUAGGAGCUACUCUGCAGAGUUUUGAUAAGAGUUUGUUAUCUAUACAU